rnacentral:rRNA from 1 species
GGUAAUGCCGGAUGCUCCAGUUGACCGCAUGGUCCUCUGGGAAAGCUUUUGCGGUAUGGGAUGGGGUCGCGUCCUAUCAGCUUGAUGGCGGGGUAACGGCCCACCAUGGCUUCGACGGGUAGCCGGCCUGAGAGGGCGACCGGCCACAUUGGGACUGAGAUACGGCCCAGACUCCUACGGGAGGCAGCAGUGGGGAAUAUUGCACAAUGGGCGCAAGCCUGAUGCAGCGACGCCGCGUGCGGGAUGACGGCCUUCGGGUUGUAAACCGCUUUUGACUGGGAGCAAGCCCUUCGGGGUGAGUGUACCUUUCGAAUAAGCACCGGCUAACUACGUGCCAGCAGCCGCGGUAAUACGUAGGGUGCAAGCGUUAUCCGGAAUUAUUGGGCGUAAAGGGCUCGUAGGCGGUUCGUCGCGUCCGGUGUGAAAGUCCAUCGCUUAACGGUGGAUCCGCGCCGGGUACGGGCGGGCUUGAGUGCGGUAGGGGAGACUGGAAUUCCCGGUGUAACGGUGGAAUGUGUAGAU